CUACGGGAGGCAGCAGUGGGGAAUAUUGCACAAUGGGCGCAAGCCUGAUGCAGCCAUGCCGCGUGUAUGAAGAAGGCCUUCGGGUUGUAAAGUACUUUCAGCGGGGAGGAAGGGAGUAAAGUUAAUACCUUUGCUCAUUGACGUUACCCGCAGAAGAAGCACCGGCUAACUCCGUGCCAGCAGCCGCGGUAAUACGGAGGGUGCAAGCGUUAAUCGGAAUUACUGGGCGUAAAGCGCACGCAGGCGGUUUGUUAAGUCAGAUGUGAAAUCCCCGGGCUCAACCUGGGAACUGCACCUGAUACUGGCAAGCUUGAGUCUCGUAGAGGGGGGUAGAAUUCUAGGUGUAGCGGUGAAAUGCGUAGAGAUCUGGAGGAAUACCGGUGGCGAAGGCGGCCCCCUGGACGAAGACUGACGCUCAGGUGCGAAAGCGUGGGGAGCAAACAGGAUUAGAUACCCGCGUAGUC
rnacentral:rRNA from 1 species